CCUACGUGUGGCAGCAGUGAGGAAUAUUGGUCAAUGGCCGGAAGGCUGAACCAGCCAUGCCGAGUGAAGGUCAGUGCCCUAUGGGCGUUAAACUUCUUUUGUGCGGGAGCAAUAAUGGUCACGUGUGGCCAGACGAGAGUACCGUACGACUAAGCAUCGGCUAACUCCGUGCCAGCAGCCGCGGUAAUACGGGGGAUGCAAGCGUUAGACGGAUGUUGUGGGUUUAAAGGGUGCGUAGGCUGGGAGGUAAGUCAGCGGUGAAAUGCCCCCGCUCAACGGGGUGAAGUGCCAUGGAUACUGCCUUGCUGGAAUGCGGAUGCCGUGGGAGGAAUGUGUGGGGUAGCGGUGAAAUGCAUAGAUAUCACACAGAACACCGAUUGCGAAGGCAUCUCACGAAUCCGCGAUUGACGCUGAUGCACGAAAGCGUGGGUAUCAAACAGGAUUAGAUACCCCUGUAGUC
rnacentral:rRNA from 1 species